rnacentral:rRNA from 1 species
GACGAACGCUGGCGGCGUGCUUAACACAUGCAAGUCGAACGGAAAGGCCCUGCUUUUGUGGGGUGCUCGAGUGGCGAACGGGUGAGUAACACGUGAGUAACCUGCCCUUGACUUUGGGAUAACUUCAGGAAACUGGGGCUAAUACCGGAUAGGAGCCCCUGCUGCAUGGUGGGGGGUGGAAAGUUUCGGCGGUUGGGGAUGGACUGGCGGCUUAUCAGCUUGUUGGUGGGGUAGUGGCUUACCAAGGCUUUGACGGGUAGCCGGCCUGGGAGGGUGACCGGCCACAUUGGGACUGAGAUACGGCCCAGACUCCUACGGGAGGCAGCAGUGGGGAAUAUUGCACAAUGGGCGGAAGCCUGAUGCAGCAACGCCGCGUGCGGGAUGACGGCCUUCGGGUUGUAAACCGCUUUCGCCUGUGACGAAGCGUGAGUGACGGUAAUGGGUAAAGAAGCACCGGCUAACUACGUG